UUAUAUUUAUUUUUACAGUUGUAAGACACGUAGCCAGGGUUGAGCCGCUACCGCCUCGUCGUGCGGCGCCUCUUGAGCGAAACUACGGGGCGAGACGACGACGCGCAGAAGAGGAGCUUCAAGGUGCCGUAGCAGCCCGAAGACCACGAAUUGAAAUCGCGGACUUAGUUGCGGAGCCACCAUCACCUCGAUACACCCCCGUCGGUGAAUCAUCAGAUGACGACGAGGAUACUCGAGAUAAUUUUGACAGAGUUCCAUCCUCAGCCGAUGAGGCUAUAUUU
rnacentral:lncRNA from 13 species